GAAGAUUAAUCGUGAGAGGGGUCUCUAUCUCCUUCUUCAGUGCUUUCUUUCCCCCAUUUCUUCAUUGUCUCGCAUUUGCCUCUUACGUUUCUUCCGAAGAUAGGAUUUCAUUUUUUUUUCUGGAGUCGACUCUGGUUUUUAGGUUGGUUUUGAGUUUAUUCCGGAGUUGUUUGAGGUGGGUUUUGGAAGAUGAUGAGAUUGUGAGUGAAGAUUGAGAGAGGGUUGUGAUUGUGGAGACGGGCUGGUGAUAAAUUUGGCACUAGACACUCCUUGAAUGAAGAGAGGAAAAAAAAAGAAACUAGACCCGACUGUCGAGGAUGAGUGGAGAUCAGAGCACGGGGACACAACCGACUAUGGAGGACAAGACGGCCGCCUAUGGAGGAGUGUCGAGAUGAGAGCACGAGACACAUCCAACCAACCUAUGGAGAAGUGUGGAGAUGAGUAUGGAGAAGUGUGGAAAUGAGAGCACGAGACACAGCUGGAGGAGAAGACGCUCGACUAUGGAGGAGAAGAGAGGGAAAAACGGGAAAAGAUGGGCUGAGAGGGGGAGAGAACAGGUAGAAAAUGAGGGAAGAGAGGGAACAAACGGGAAAAUGGGCUGAGAGGGGGAGACAACAGGUAGCCAGUUUUCCUUUUUUCAUUUUUUUCUUUUUCUUUUCAAUGGCUGAGAUUUAAACUAUUGCAUCCAACGGCUACAAAAAAUCUGAGGUAUGGUACCUCCCUCAGCACCAUAGAAGUUUCCUUUUAUAAAUAUUUAUACUUGGCCUUUACGUAAUUUAAGACUUGCCAAAUACACCUCAGCAAUCUUGCUUUCACCAAUCGUUCAUCAUUAUCUCCCAUAAGCCAUCAACCAGCUGUACCCAGCCUCACCCACUGCGCACCUAGCCUUCUCAAAUCGUACACCUAGUUCCUUGUAGCUGCAACCAGCCGUCCCAUCCCUUGCAACAACCCAUUCUUUGGGCUGGCCAAGAUACAUCUCUGUGAUCAUCACCCGCUGCUUGCUGCCAUAGCCAUACUCUCCUUUCGACUGAUAAAAGCCAUUCUACGAGAAGAAGGCAGUAGAGAGUAGAGCUUCUCUCACCCUCUUUCUCUCUCUGAUUUUCCAUAUUUUCUCUCUCUAGAGAUUCUCAAAAAAUUUUCUCUCUCCUCUUUCUAUGCUUUCUCUCUAAAUACAUCUCUUCCAUCUGCUUUUUAAAUGCGUAGAAACCCUUUCGUCUAUAUAGUAGAGAUGAUCGCCUUCUUGGAUCCUCCAAACUAUCGAUUUUUCCGCUCAAUUUAGAGUAAAUUUUAAAGAAAAAUUGCGCUUCUUUUUCCAUCUCUAUCUACAUUUUAUGUGUUCGCCCAAUUCUGCUCCCUGAAGUUUUCCUUUUCUUUUACUUUUGUUUGCUGCGCCUUUUUAGUGCAAAACCCGGGUUUUCACCAAAUGUUGGUUGUUUUAUCCCCAAAUUUCGUUGAUUUAACCUUCUUUGACGCUUCACUUUUGCUUUUCUCCUUUUGUUGCCUCACUACUUUGGAUUCUGAACCAGGAUUCUUGGUUUGUGGUCUUAGUUUGAGGACUAUAGAUCGUUGUACCCAGGAGUACAAUUUGUAUGAGCUUUACUGGUUUUUGUAUGAUCUUGCCAUCUGUAUUGAGUGUGAAGUCAACGUCCUAUUGUUUUUAUUCCGAGCCGACGGUUGUUAGAUGAUCCUGUUGGUUUCUGGGUUUGAAGGGUUGAUGCUUUGUCGACAAGAUGCAGCCCGAUCAGCGACGAAAGGCAUCUGUGGAGGUAGAUUUCUUCACUGAAUCACACAUCAUUUUCUUGCAAUUCAAUUCUAAACUGGAAAAGGGUAAUCUAGAAUCAAAGCCCAAAGAACCCAUAAAAAACCCGAAGAAAUUACAAUCGGGAAUUUUCCCCCAUUUCUUCAUUGUCUCGCAUUUGCCUCUUACGUUUCUUCCGAAGAUAGGAUUUCCUUUUUUUUUUCUGGAGUAGACUCUGGUUUUUAGGUUGGUUUUGAGUUUAUUCCGGAGUUGUUUGAGGUGGGUUUUGGAAGAUGAUGAGAUUGUGAG
rnacentral:lncRNA from 1 species